rnacentral:rRNA from 1 species
AACGCGAAGAACCUUACCAAGGCUUGACAUAUAGCGAAAAGUGGCAGAGAUGUCAUGUCCGCAAGGGCGCUAUACAGGUGGUGCAUGGUUGUCGUCAGCUCGUGUCGUGAGAUGUUGGGUUAAGUCCCGCAACGAGCGCAACCCUCGUUCUGUGUUACCAGCAUUCAGUUGGGGACUCACAGGAGACUGCCGGGGUCAACUCGGAGGAAGGUGGGGAUGACGUCAAAUCAUCAUGCCCCUUCUGUCUUGGGCUGCACGCAUGCUACAAUGGCCGGUACAAAGUGCUGCGAGAUCGUAAGAUUGAGCGAAUCACAUAAAGCCGGUCUCAGUUCGGAUUGAGGUCUGCAACUCGACCUCAUGAAGUCGGAGUUGCUAGUAAUCGUAGAUCAGCAACGCUACGGUGAAUACGUUCCCGGGUCUUGUACACACCG